rnacentral:rRNA from 1 species
GAUGAACGCUGGCGGCGUGCCUAAUACAUGCAAGUCGAGCGAACUCUUGGGAGCUUGCUCCCAAUAGUUAGCGGCGGACGGGUGAGUAACACGUGGGUAACCUGCCUGUAAGACUGGGUUACCUUCGGGAAACCGCAGCUAUUACCGGAUAACAUUGAAGACCACAUGGCCUUCACUUAAAAGGUGGCUUUUAGCUACCACUUACAGAUGGACCCGCGUCGCAUUGGCUAGUUGGUGAGGUAACGGCUCACCAAGGCGACGAUGGGUAGACGACCUGAGAGGGUGAGAGGAGACACUGGGAGUGUGACACGGCCCAGAGACCUACAGGGGGGGGAGGAAGGGGGACUUUCGGAAUGGGGGAGAGACUGACAGAGAAACGCCGCGCGAGCGAAGAGGGGCUUCGGGUGGUAAAGAGCUGUUGUGAGAGAAGAAAAAGAAUCGUUCGAAUAGGGCGGUAGCUUGACGGUACCUAAACAGAAAGCAACGGCUAACUACGUG